rnacentral:rRNA from 1 species
GACGAACGCUGGCGGCGUGCUUAACACAUGCAAGUCGAGCGGUAAGGCCCUUUCGGGGGUACACGAGCGGCGAACGGGUGAGUAACACGUGGGUGACCUGCCCUCAGCUCUGGGAUAAGCCUGGGAAACCGGGUCUAAUACUGGAUAUGACUCCAUGACGCAUGUUGUGGGGUGAAAGCCUUGUGCGGCUGAGGAUGGGCCCGCGGCCUAUCAGCUUGUUGGUGGGGUGANGGCCUACCAAGGCGACGACGGGUAGCCGGCCUGAGAGGGCGACCGGCCACACUGGGACUGAGACACGGCCCAGACUCCUACGGGAGGCAGCAGUGGGGAAUCUUGCGCAAUGGGCGAAAGCCUGACGCAGCGACGCCGCGUGAGGGAUGACGGCCUCGGUU